UACGGAGGGUGCAAGCGUUAUCCGGAUUCACUGGGUUUAAAGGGUGCGUAGGUGGGCAGGAAAGUCAGUGGUGAAAUCUCCGAGCUUAACUCGGAAACUGCCAUUGAUACUAUUUGUCUUGAAUAUUGUGGAGGUAAGCGGAAUAUGUCAUGUAGCGGUGAAAUGCUUAGAUAUGACAUAGAACACCAAUUGCGAAGGCAGCUUACUACACAAUGAUUGACGCUGAGGCACGAAAGCGUGGGGAUCAAACAGG
rnacentral:rRNA from 1 species